UAGAUUUCAACGGAAGUCUCAUAAAGUUCAACGAAAAAGGCAGAAGACCCAAUGGAUCAGUUCAUUCUCUAGUCAGUUCAUGCAUAAGGUCCACACAUGUAUAAGUGUCUAUUCCACCUGUCUGUUCAUAGAGUCUAAUAACCCAUCCACUGGGUCUUCUGCUUUUUCCGUUGAACUUUAUGAGACUUCUGUUGAAAUCUA